GAUUUAAAGCUCUCUUCGGAGAGUGCAUAAAGUGGCGCACGGGUGAGUAACACGUAAGUAAUCUACCUUCGAGUGGGGAAUAACAUCGGGAAACCGAUGCUAAUACCGCAUAAUGCAGCGGCAUCGCAAGAUGACAGUUGUUAAAGAUUUAUCGCUUGAAGAGGAGCUUGCGGCAGAUUAGCUAGUUGGUAAGGUAAUGGCUUACCAAGGCUACGAUCUGUAACCGGUCUAAGAGGACGGUCGGUCACACUGACACUGAAUAACGGGUCAGACUCCUACGGGAGGCAGCAGUCGGGAAUUUUGGGCAAUGGGCGAAAGCCUGACCCAGCAACGCCGCGUGAAGGAUGAAGUAUUUCGGUAUGUAAACUUCGAAAGAAUAGGAAGAAUAAAUGACGGUACUAUUUAUAAGGUCCGGCUAACUACGUGCCAGCAGCCGCGGUAAUACGUAGGGACCAAGCGUUGUUCGGAUUUACUGGGCGUAAAGGGCGCGUAGGCGGCGUGACAAGUCACUUGUGAAAUCUCCGGGCUUAACUCGGAGCGGCCAAGUGAUACUGUCGUGCUAGAGUGCGGAAGGGGCAACUGGAAUUCUCGGUGUAGCGGUGAAAUGCGUAGAUAUCGAGAGGAACACCUGCGGCGAAGGCGGGUUGCUGGGCCGACACUGACGCUGAGGCGCGAAAGCCAGGGAGCGAACGGGAUUAGAUACCCCGGUAGUCCUGGCCUUAAACGAUGGAUGCUUGGUGUC
rnacentral:rRNA from 1 species